rnacentral:rRNA from 1 species
GGCGACGAUCGGUAGCUGGUCUGAGAGGAUGACCAGCCACACUGGAACUGAGACACGGUCCAGACUCCUACGGGAGGCAGCAGUGGGGAAUAUUGGACAAUGGGGGGAACCCUGAUCCAGCAAUGCCGCGUGUGUGAAGAAGGCCUGAGGGUUGUAAAGCACUUUCAGUGGGGAGGAGGGUUGACAGGUUAAGAGCUGGUUGACUGGACGUUACCCACAGAAGAAGCACCGGCUAACUCCGUGCCAGCAGCCGCGGUAAUACGGAGGGUGCGAGCGUUAAUCGGAAUUACUGGGCGUAAAGGGUGCGUAGGUGGUUUGAUAAGUUAUCUGUGAAAGCCCUGGGCUCAACCUGGGAACUGCAGAUAAGACUGUUGAACUCGAGUAUAGGAGAGGGUAGUGGAAUUUCCGGUGUAGCGGUGAAAUGCGUAGAGAUCGGAAGGAACACCAGUGGCGAAGGCGGCUACCUGGCCUAAUACUGACACUGAGGCACGAAAGCGUGGGGAGCAAACAGGAUUAGAUACCCUGGUAGUCCACGCUGUAAACGAUGUCAACUAGCUGUUGGUCUUAUGAAUGAGAUUAGUGGCGCAGCAAC